rnacentral:rRNA from 1 species
CCAAUAGCGUAUAUUAAAGUUGUUGCAGUUAAAAAGCUCGUAGUUGAAUUUCGGGAUCAAUAUGUUGGUCGUGCCUUGGUACGUACUGGCGUCAUUGGUUUCUACCUUCUGAAGAACCUCGAUGUCAUUAAUUUGGUGUCUUGGGGAAUCAGGACUGUUACUUUGAAAAAAUUAGAGUGUUUAAAGCAAGCUCACGCUUGAAUACAUUAGCAUGGAAUAA